GGUUAAGCGACUAAGCGUACACGGUGGAUGCCCGGCAGUCAGAGGCGAUGAAGGACGCACCCGCGAUAAGCGCCGGUAGAUGCGGAACCGUUAUAACCGGCGAUUCCGAAUGCAGAAACCCAGUGUGCAUUCGUCACACUAUCAUUAACUGAACUAUGUUAAUGAGGCGAACCGGGGAACUGAAACAUCUAAGUACCCCUGAGGAAAAGAAAUCAACCGAGAUUCCCCAGUAGCGGCGAGCGAACGGAGGAGCCCAGAGCCUGAAUCAGCAUGUGUGUUAGUGGGAAGGGUUCGAAAGCGGGCGCGCAUACAGGGUGACAGCCCCGUACACAAAAGCGCAUGUGCUGUGAGCUCGAUGAGUAAAGUGACACGGCAUCCUGUCUGAAUAUGGGGGACCAUCCUCCAAGGCUAAAUACCCUGACUGACCGAUACAGUGAACCAGUACCGUGAGGGAAAGGCGAAAAGAACCCCGGCGAGGGAGUGAAAAAGAAGAACCUGAAACCGUGUACGUGGCUGGCAGUGGGAGCACAGGUUUACCUGUGUGACUGCGUACCUUUUGUAUAAUGGGUCAGCGACUAUAUUCUGUAGCAAGGUUAACCGUAUAGGGGAGCCGGAGGGAAACCGGAGUCUUAACCGGGCGUUAAGUUGCAGGGUAUAGACCCGAAACCCGGUGACUCCAGCUUGAAGGGCAGGUUGAAGGCGUUGGGUAACAUCAACUGGAGGACCGAACUGACUAAUGUUGAAAAAUUAGCGGAUGACCUGUGGCUGGGGUGAAAGGCCAAUCAAACCGGGAGAUAGCUGGUUCUCCCCGAAAGCUAUUUAGGUAGCGCCCGUGAAUUCAUCCCGGGUAGAGCACCGUUUUCGGCUAGCGGGCCAUCCCGGCUUACCAACCCCGAUGCAAACUGCGAAUACCGGAGAAUGUUAUCACGGGAGACACACGGCGCGGGUGCUAACGUCCGCCGCGAAGAGGGAAACAAACCCAGACCGCCAGCUAAGGUCCCAAAGUCAUGGUUAUGCGGGAAACGAGGGAAGCGCCCAGACAGCCGUGAUGUUGGCUUAGAAGCAGCCAUCAUUAAAGAAAAGCCGUAAUAGCUCACUGGUCGAGUCGGCCUGCGCGGAAGAUGUAACGGCCAAACCAUGCACCGAAGCUGCGGCAGCGACGUGCUGAUGCGUUGUUGGGUAGGGGAGCGUUCGCAAGCUUCCGUGAAGGUGUGUCGUGAGGCAUGCUGGAGGUAUCAGAAGUGCGAAUGCCGACAUAAGUAACGAUAGCGGGUGAAAAGCCCGCUCGCCGGAAGACCAAGGGUUCCGUCCAACGUUAAUCGGGGUGCAGGGGUGAGUCGACCCCAUAAGCGAGGCCGAAAGGCGUAGUCGAUGGAAACAGGUUAAUAUUCCUACUCGGUGUUACCGCGAAGGGGACGGAGAAGGCUAUGUUGGCCGGGCGACGGUUGUCCCGGUUUAAGCGUGUAGGUAGUGUUCCGUAAAUCCGGUUCACUUUAACACUGAGGCGUGAUGACGAGGCACUACGGCGCUGAAGCAACAAAAUGCCCUGCUUCCAGAAAGCCCUAAGCAUCAGGUAACAUCAAAUCGUACCCCAAACCGACACAGGUGGUCAGGUAGAGAAUACCAAGGCGCUUGAGAGAACUCGGGUGAAGGAACUAGCAAAAUGGUGCCGUAACUUCGGGGAGAAGGCACGCUGACAUGGUGGUGAAGUGAUUUACUCACGGAGCUGAAGUCAGUCGAAGAUGUACCAGCUGGCCGCAACUGUUUAUUAAAACACAGCACUGUGCAAAACACGAAAGUGGACGAUACGGUGCGACGCCUGCCCGGUGCCGGAAGGUUAAUUGAUGGGGUCAGCGCAAGCGAAGCCCUGAUCGAAGCCCCGGUAAACGGCGGCCGUAACUAUAACGGUCCUAAGGUAGCGAAAUUCCUUGUCGGGUAAGUUCCGACCGCACGAAUGGCGUAAUGAUGGCCGCCGUCUCCACCCGAGACUCAGUGAAAUUGAACCGCUGUGAAGAUGCAGUGUACCCCGCGGCAAGCACGGAAAGCAUCCCCGUGAACCUUUACUAUAGCUUCUGACACUGAACAUUGAGCCUUGAUGUGCAGGGAUGAUAGGUGGGAGGCUUUGAAGUGUGGACGCCAGUCUGCAUGGAGCCGACCUUGAAACGCCCGCCACCCUUUAAUGUUUGAUGUUCUAACGUGGACCCGUUACCCGGUUGCGGACAGUGUCUGGUGGUAGUUUGAUCGGGGCGGUCUCCUCCUAAAGAGUAACGGAGGAGCACGAAGGUUGGCUAAUCCCCGCCGGACAUCAGGAGGUUAGUGCAAUGGCAUAAGCCAGCUUGACUGCGAGCGUGACGGCGCGAGCAGGUGCGAAAGCAGGUCAUAGUGAUCCGGUGGUUCUGAAUGGAGGCCAUCGCUCAACGGAUAAAAGGUACUCCGGGGAUAAUAGGCCGAUACCGCCCAAGAGUUCAUAUCGACGGCGGUGUUUGGCACCCGAUGUCGGCUCAUCACAUCCCCGCUGAAGUAGGUCCUUACAAGGCGAUGUUCGCCAUUUAAAGUGGUACGAGUCAGUUUAGAACGUCGAGACGUUCGGUCCCUAUCUGCCGUGGGGCGCUGGAGAACUGAGGGGCUGCCCUAAAGUACGAGAGGACCGGAGUGGACGCAUCACUGGUGUUCGCUGUCAUGCCAAUGGCACCGCCCGGUAGCUAAAUGCGGAAGAAGAGAUACAAGUGCUGAAAGCAUCUUAAGCACGAAACUUGCCCCGAGAUGAGUUCUCCUGAGACUUGUAGCCCCUGAAGGAACGUUGAAGACGACGACGUUGAUAGGCCGGGUGUGUAAGCGCAGCGAUGCGUUGAGCUAACCGGUACUAAUGAACCGUGAGUGUUUAACCCA
rnacentral:rRNA from 1 species